CCUACGGGGGGCAGCAGUGAGGAAUAUUGGUCAAUGGGCGUAAGCCUGAACCAGCCAAGUCGCGUGAGGGAUGAAGGUUCUAUGGAUCGUAAACCUCUUUUAUAAGGGAAUAAAGUGCGGGACGUGUCCUGUUUUGUAUGUACCUUAUGAAUAAGGAUCGGCUAACUCCGUGCCAGCAGCCGCGGUAAUACGGAGGGUCCGAGCGUUAUCCGGAUUUAUUGGGUUUAAAGGGUGCGUAGGCGGUCUUUUAAGUCAGCGGUGAAAGUCUGUGGCUCAACCAUAGAAUUGCCGUUGAAACUGGGAGGCUUGAGUAUGUGUGAGGCAGGCGGAAUGCGUGGUGUAGCGGUGAAAUGCUUAGAUAUCACGCAGAACCCCAAUUGCGAAGGCAGCCUGCCAAGCCAUGACUGACGCUGAUGCACGAAAGCGUGGGGAUCAAACAGGAUUAGAUACCCCGGUAGUC
rnacentral:rRNA from 1 species